rnacentral:lncRNA from 1 species
UUAUGAAACUGACCCUAUAUGUUAUUUUAUAUAUAUAUGAAAUUUCAACUUUGAUUAUGAUAGACUAUCUCUAAUUAAUACAAAUAAAAUAAAAUCAGUUAAAGAGUUAAUUCGAGUAAAAUUGAAAACAUACACUUUAAUUGAAAGAAUGAUAAGUAUAAUAAAAAAAAAAUCCUGCUAAAAUUUAAAAUCCGAAAUUAACUGAAACAACUCAACACUGCUCAAGAGCCGACCAAGCUGAUAGUGGCUUGGUGUGGGCAACGCAUGAACAACAUGCACGCACUACCCAUCGUGAACAUUAAUUUGUGUAUUUCAUGGCGAGAAAGAUAAACAGCAAACUGUUAGUGUAUCAGUAUGAGCAGACACGAGGUUGACUCUCCAAGUCAAACCUGAGUUCCCAUCUCAUGUUUUUGGUCCAGCCUAUCAACUAUCAAGUACUAGGUCAUUUUAUUUUAUUUUUUAAUUUUGUUGUAUAUGUGGAGAAAAAUGGCAGCCGUCGAUGUAUAUUGAGAGUCACACACAGAGUUUAAAUAAGAUAAUAGUUCGUUUAGUUCAUAUAUUUUAAAAUUAUUGUAUAUUUAAUCAUUAUAUUUUUAUAAAUAACUCAAAACGUCUAUGUCAUUAAACUAUUGAUAU